GCCUUCGUGAUGUAGUGGUCAGCACGCUGGGCUAUUAUUCCAGAGGUCCGUGGUUCGAGUCUCUGCGAAGGCG
rfam:Stegodyphus mimosarum contig43869, whole genome shotgun sequence.